rnacentral:misc_RNA from 1 species
GUGAAUCAUCGAAUCUUUGAACGCACCUUGCGCUCCUUGGUAUUCCAUGGAGCAUGCCUGUUUGAGUGUCACGUAAACCCUCACCUCUGGGAUGUCAAAGUCUCUGACGGUGGAUUUGGACGCUGCCGUAGAUGGCUCGUCCCGAAAUGCAUUAGCUGGCGCUGGUUAGAGUGCUCGGCAUGGUGUGAUAAUUAUCUGCGCCGUCGCCUUAGGCCUCUUCUGCGUGUGCCGCUUACAACCGUCCCGCCGUGGACAACAUUUUUAAAGCUUUGGCCUCAAAUCAGGCAGGACUACCCGCUGAACUUAAGCAUAUCAAUAAGCGGAGGA